GGUUAAGCGACUAAGCGUACACGGUGGAUGCCCUGGCAGUCAGAGGCGAUGAAGGACGUGCUAAUCUGCGAUAAGCGUCGGUAAGGUGAUAUGAACCGUUAUAACCGGCGAUUUCCGAAUGGGGAAACCCAGUGCAAUUCGUUGCACUAUCAUUGCGUGAAUACAUAGCGUAAUGAAGCGAACCGGGGGAACUGAAACAUCUAAGUACCCCGAGGAAAAGAAAUCAACCGAGAUUCCCCCAGUAGCGGCGAGCGAACGGGGAGCAGCCCAGAGUCUGAAUCAGCGUGUGUGUUAGUGGAACGGUCUGGAAAGUCCGACGGUACAGGGUGAUAGUCCCGUACACCAAAACACACAGGUUGUGAACUCGAAGAGUAGGGCGGGACACGUGGUAUCCUGUCUGAAUAUGGGGGGACCAUCCUCCAAGGCUAAAUACUCCUGACUGACCGAUAGUGAACCAGUACCGUGAGGGAAAGGCGAAAAGAACCCCGGCGAGGGGAGUGAAAAAGAACCUGAAACCGUGUACGUACAAGCAGUGGGAGCCUCUUUAUGGGGUGACUGCGUACCUUUUGUAUAAUGGGUCAGCGACUUAUAUUCUGUAGCAAGGUUAACCGAAUAGGGGAGCCGAAGGGAAACCGAGUCUUAACUGGGCGUUAAGUUGCAGGGUAUAGACCCGAAACCCGGUGAUCUAGCCAUGGGCAGGUUGAAGGUUGGGUAACACUAACUGGAGGACCGAACCGACUAAUGUUGAAAAAUUAGCGGAUGACUUGUGGCUGGGGGUGAAAGGCCAAUCAAACCGGGAGAUAGCUGGUUCUCCCCGAAAGCUAUUUAGGUAGCGCCUCGUGAAUUCAUCUUCGGGGGUAGAGCACUGUUUCGGCUAGGGGGUCAUCCCGACUUACCAACCCGAUGCAAACUGCGAAUACCGAAGAAUGUUAUCACGGGAGACACACGGCGGGUGCUAACGUCCGUCGUGAAGAGGGAAACAACCCAGACCGCCAGCUAAGGUCCCAAAGUCAUGGUUAAGUGGGAAACGAUGUGGGAAGGCACAGACAGCCAGGAUGUUGGCUUAGAAGCAGCCAUCAUUUAAAGAAAGCGUAAUAGCUCACUGGUCGAGUCGGCCUGCGCGGAAGAUGUAACGGGGCUAAACCAUGCACCGAAGCUGCGGCAGCGACACUAUGUGUUGUUGGGUAGGGGAGCGUUCUGUAAGCCGUUGAAGGUGUGCUGUGAGGCAUGCUGGAGGUAUCAGAAGUGCGAAUGCUGACAUAAGUAACGAUAAUGCGGGUGAAAAACCCGCACGCCGGAAGACCAAGGGUUCCUGUCCAACGUUAAUCGGGGCAGGGUGAGUCGACCCCUAAGGCGAGGCCGAAAGGCGUAGUCGAUGGGAAACAGGUUAAUAUUCCUGUACUUGGUGUUACUGCGAAGGGGGGACGGAGAAGGCUAUGUUGGCCGGGCGACGGUUGUCCCGGUUUAAGCGUGUAGGUGUGUGUUCCAGGUAAAUCCGGAAUGCUUUAACACUGAGGCGUGAUGACGAGGCACUACGGUGCUGAAGUGACAAAUGCCCUGCUUCCAGGAAAAGCCUCUAAGCAUCAGGUAACAUCAAAUCGUACCCCAAACCGACACAGGUGGUCAGGUAGAGAAUACCAAGGCGCUUGAGAGAACUCGGGUGAAGGAACUAGGCAAAAUGGUGCCGUAACUUCGGGAGAAGGCACGCUGAUAUGUAGGUGAAGUGAUUUACUCAUGGAGCUGAAAUCAGUCGAAGAUACCAGCUGGCUGCAACUGUUUAUUAAAAACACAGCACUGUGCAAACACGAAAGUGGACGUAUACGGUGUGACGCCUGCCCGGUGCCGGAAGGUUAAUUGAUGGGGUUAUCCGUAAGGAGAAGCUCUUGAUCGAAGCCCCGGUAAACGGCGGCCGUAACUAUAACGGUCCUAAGGUAGCGAAAUUCCUUGUCGGGUAAGUUCCGACCUGCACGAAUGGCGUAAUGAUGGCCAGGCUGUCUCCACCCGAGACUCAGUGAAAUUGAACUCGCUGUGAAGAUGCAGUGUACCCGCGGCAAGACGGAAAGACCCCGUGAACCUUUACUAUAGCUUGACACUGAACACUGGUCCUUGAUGUGUAGGAUAGGUGGGAGGCUUUGAAGUGUGGACGCCAGUCUGCAUGGAGCCGACCUUGAAAUACCACCCUUUAAUGGCUGGUGUUCUAACGUUGGCCCGUGAUCCGGGUUGCGGACAGUGUCUGGUGGGUAGUUUGACUGGGGCGGUCUCCUCCCAAAGAGUAACGGAGGAGCACGAAGGUUAGCUAAUCCUGGUCGGACAUCAGGAGGUUAGUGCAAAGGCAUAAGCUAGCUUGACUGCGAGAGUGACGGCUCGAGCAGGUGCGAAAGCAGGUCUUAGUGAUCCGGUGGUUCUGAAUGGAAGGGCCAUCGCUCAACGGAUAAAAGGUACUCCGGGGAUAACAGGCUGAUACCGCCCAAGAGUUCAUAUCGACGGCGGUGUUUGGCACCUCGAUGUCGGCUCAUCACAUCCUGGGGCUGAAGUAGGUCCCAAGGGUAUGGCUGUUCGCCAUUUAAAGUGGUACGCGAGCUGGGUUUAGAACGUCGUGAGACAGUUCGGUCCCUAUCUGCCGUGGGCGCUGGAGAAUUGAGGGGGGCUGCUCCUAGUACGAGAGGACCGGAGUGGACGCAUCACUGGUGUUCGGGUUGUCAUGCCAAUGGCACUGCCCGGUAGCUAAAUGCGGAAGAGAUAAGUGCUGAAAGCAUCUAAGCACGAAACUUGCCCCGAGAUGAGUUCUCCCUGACCCUUUAAGGGUCCUGAAGGAACGUUGAAGACGACGACGUUGAUAGGCCGGGUGUGUAAGCGCAGCGAUGCGUUGAGCUAACCGGUACUAAUGAACCGUGAGGCUUAACCUU
rnacentral:rRNA from 1 species